rnacentral:rRNA from 1 species
AGGGUUCGAUUCUGGCUCAGGAUGAACGCUGGCGGCGUGCUUAACACAUGCAAGUCGAACGGGAUCCAGGCAGCUUGCUGCCUGGUGAGAGUGGCGAACGGGUGAGUAAUGCGUGACCGACCUGCCCCAUACACCGGAAUAGCUCCUGGAAACGGGUGGUAAUGCCGGAUGCUCCGACUCCUCGCAUGGGGUGUCGGGAAAGAUUUCAUCGGUAUGGGAUGGGGUCGCGUCCUAUCAGGUAGUCGGCGGGGUAACGGCCCACCGAGCCUACGACGGGUAGCCGGCCUGAGAGGGCGACCGGCCACAUUGGGACUGAGAUACGGCCCAGACUCCUACGGGAGGCAGCAGUGGGGAAUAUUGCACAAUGGGCGCAAGCCUGAUGCAGCGACGCCGCGUGCGGGAUGACGGCCUUCGGGUUGUAAACCGCUUUUGACUGGGAGCAAGCCCUUCGGGGUGAGUGUACCUUUCGAAUAAGCACCGGCUAACUACGUGCCAGCAGCCGCGGUAAUACGUAGGGUGCAAGCGUUAUCCGGAAUUAUUGGGCGUAAAGGGCUCGUAGGCGGUUCGUCGCGUCCGGUGUGAAAGUCCAUCGCUUAACGGUGGAUCUGCGCCGGGUACGGGCGGGCUGGAGUGCGGUAGGGGAGACUGGAAUUCCCGGUGUAACGGUGGAAUGUGUAGAUAUCGGGAAGAACACCAAUGGCGAAGGCAGGUCUCUGGGCCGUUACUGACGCUGAGGAGCGAAAGCGUGGGGAGCGAACAGGAUUAGAUACCCUGGUAGUCCACGCCGUAAACGGUGGAUGCUGGAUGUGGGGCCCGUUCCACGGGUUCCGUGUCGGAGCUAACGCGUUAAGCAUCCCGCCUGGGGAGUACGGCCGCAAGGCUAAAACUCAAAGAAAUUGACGGGGGCCCGCACAAGCGGCGGAGCAUGCGGAUUAAUUCGAUGCAACGCGAAGAACCUUACCUGGGCUUGACAUGUUCCCGACAGCCGUAGAGAUACGGUCUCCCUUCGGGGCGGGUUCACAGGUGGUGCAUGGUCGUCGUCAGCUCGUGUCGUGAGAUGUUGGGUUAAGUCCCGCAACGAGCGCAACCCUCGCCCUGUGUUGCCAGCACGUCAUGGUGGGAACUCACGGGGGACCGCCGGGGUCAACUCGGAGGAAGGUGGGGAUGACGUCAGAUCAUCAUGCCCCUUACGUCCAGGGCUUCACGCAUGCUACAAUGGCCGGUACAACGGGAUGCGACAUGGCGACAUGGAGCGGAUCCCUGAAAACCGGUCUCAGUUCGGAUUGGAGUCUGCAACCCGACUCCAUGAAGGCGGAGUCGCUAGUAAUCGCGGAUCAGCAACGCCGCGGUGAAUGCGUUCCCGGGCCUUGUACACACCGCCCGUCAAGUCAUGAAAGUGGGUAGCACCCGAAGCCGGUGGCCUAACCCCUUGUGGGAUGGAGCCGUCUAAGGUGAGACUCGUGAUUGGGACUAAGUCGUAACAAGGUAGCCGUACCGGAAGGUGCGGCUG